rnacentral:rRNA from 1 species
AGAGUUUGAUCCUGGCUCAGAUUGAACGCUGGCGGCAUGCCUUACACAUGCAAGUCGAACGGUAACAGGUCUUCGGAUGCUGACGAGUGGCGAACGGGUGAGUAAUACAUCGGAACGUGCCCGAUCGUGGGGGAUAACGGAGCGAAAGCUUUGCUAAUACCGCAUACGAUCUACGGAUGAAAGCAGGGGACCGCAAGGCCUUGCGCGGACGGAGCGGCCGAUGGCAGAUUAGGUAGUUGGUGGGAUAAAAGCUUACCAAGCCGACGAUCUGUAGCUGGUCUGAGAGGACGACCAGCCACACUGGGACUGAGACACGGCCCAGACUCCUACGGGAGGCAGCAGUGGGGAAUUUUGGACAAUGGGCGAAAGCCUGAUCCAGCCAUGCCGCGUGCAGGAUGAAGGCCUUCGGGUUGUAAACUGCUUUUGUACGGAACGAAAAGACUCCUUCUAAUAAAGGGGGUCCAUGACGGUACCGUAAGAAUAAGCACCGGCUAACUACGUGCCAGCAGCCGCGGUAAU